rnacentral:lncRNA from 1 species
CUUGCUUUACAAUUUUUGUGGCAAUCUAGUACUUGACCUGCGAGCAAUGCUUCUUCAAAGUUGAGUCAUUGGGCCUACUACUACAGCCGACCCUCUUCACUCAAAAAUUUGUUAAAACUUCAAAAUUGCUUCAAAUUUAAUUCAAUCUAUGCCAAUGGAAGCUCAACUUAAAGGUGCUUAUAUUUCCAAAAUUUCAACAUGAUCCCAUUAAGUG